rnacentral:rRNA from 1 species
AUUGAACGCUGGCGGCAGGCUUAACACAUGCAAGUCGAGCGGAGAUGAGGUGCUUGCACCUUAUCUUAGCGGCGGACGGGUGAGUAAUGCUUAGGAAUCUGCCUAUUAGUGGGGGACAACAUUCCGAAAGGAAUGCUAAUACCGCAUACGUCCUACGGGAGAAAGCAGGGGAUCUUCGGACCUUGCGCUAAUAGAUGAGCCUAAGUCGGAUUAGCUAGUUGGUGGGGUAAAGGCCUACCAAGGCGACGAUCUGUAGCGGGUCUGAGAGGAUGAUCCGCCACACUGGGACUGAGACACGGCCCAGACUCCUACGGGAGGCAGCAGUGGGGAAUAUUGGACAAUGGGGGGAACCCUGAUCCAGCCAUGCCGCGUGUGUGAAGAAGGCCUUAUGGUUGUAAAGCACUUUAAGCGAGGAGGAGGCUACUGAGACUAAUACUCUUGGAUAGUGGACGUUACUCGCAGAAUAAGCACCGGCUAACUCUGUGCCAGCCGCCGCCGCGGUAA